GAUAUUAAAACGCGAUAGUUAUUAUUAGGUAUCGCGAUGUACGGUGUGUGUAUAUAUGUGUGUAUGUGUGUGUAUGUGUGUGUGUGUGCGAUUACGCGUUUCAAUACGAAUGUCGGCCCGCAACAGAACCGCACAGUUAUUACGUUUGGCGUUCCAUAUCGUAACGUCCGCGAUGAUCGUCACGAACUGAGUGCUGGCUCAUAAUAAUAUAAUA